UUGGUAAGGUAACGGCUUACCAAGACUUCGAUAGGUAGGGGUCCUGAGAGGGAGAUCCCCCACACUGGUACUGAGACACGGACCAGACUCCUACGGGAGGCAGCAGUGAGGAAUAUUGGGCAAUGGAGGUAACUCUGACCCAGCCAUGCCGCGUGCAGGAAGACUGCCCUAUGGGUUGUAAACUGCUUUUAUACAGGAAGAAACACUCUCACGUGUGAGAGCUUGACGGUA
rnacentral:rRNA from 12 species